UACGGGGGGGGCAAGCGUUGUUCGGAAUUACUGGGCGUAAAGGGCGCGUAGGCGGCCUUCUAAGUCGAACGUGAAAUCCCUGGGCUCAACCCAGGAACUGCGUCCGAGACUGGGAGGCUAGAAUCCGGGAGAGGGAUGUGGAAUUCCAGGUGUAGCGGUGAAAUGCGUAGAUAUCAGGAGGAACACCGAUGGCGAAGGCAGGUCUCUGGGCAUUAACUGACGCUGAGGAGCGAAAGCAUGGGGAGCGAACAGG
rnacentral:rRNA from 1 species